UAAGGUGACAUACCAUUCCCACUGUAGGGUGACAUAACCAUUCCCACUGUAAAGUAACAUAACCAUUCCCACUGUAAGGUGACAUACCAUUCCCACUGUAAGGUGACAUACCAUUCCCACUGUAGAGUGACAUAACCAUUCCCACUGUAAGGUGACAUAACCAUUCCCACAGUAGAGUGACAUAACCAUUCCCACAGUAGAGUGACAUAACCAUUCCCAUAGUAGGGUGACAUAACCAUUCCCACUGGAAGGUGACAUAACCAUUCCCACUGGAAGGUGACAUAACCAUUCCCACAGUAGAGUGACAUAACCAUUCCCAUAGUAGAGUGACAUAACCAUUCCCACUGGAAGGUGACAUAACCAGUCCCAUAGUAGAGUGACAUAACCAUUCCCACUGUGGAGUGACAUAACCAUUCCCAUAGUAGAGUGACAUAACCAUUGGAAAUGCACUAUAGAUGUUCAUACACAAUUUAUAGAGUAUGACACAUAGUUUGUAGAUAAUUUGUGAAUUAAUUAUGUGGUGCUUAUGAAGCCUUUAUGUGGUGCUUAUGAAGCCUUUAUGUGGUGCUUAUGAAGUCUUUAUAUGGUGCUUAAAGCCUUUAUGUGGUGCUUAUGAAACCUUUAUGUAUGCUAUAUAUGCCUUUAUAAAUUAUACUUUGUUUAAAGUGGGACCGUUAAUCCUAAUCCUGUCUAAUAGAGGUCUAGGAUAAUGUUGAGCCUGUGUUUAAUCCUAACCCUGUCUAAUAGAGGUCUAGGAUAUUGUUGAGCCUGUGUUUUAAUUCUAACCCUGUCUAAUAGAGGUCUAGGAUAUUGUUGAGCCUGUGUUUUAAUCCUAACCAUGUCUAAUAGAGGUCUAGGAUAUUGUUGAGCCUGUGUUUUAAUCCUAACCAUGUCUAUUAGAGGUCUAGGAUAUUGUUGAGCCUGUGUGAGUCUGUUUAUCAAAGAAUGUGAGGUGUUUUUCUCAUAACAAAGAACUGUGCUGGUUUCUCUUCUCA